GACGAACGCUGGCGGCGUGCUUAACACAUGCAAGUCGAACGGAAAGGCCCUGCUUUUGUGGGGUGCUCGAGUGGCGAACGGGUGAGUAACACGUGAGUAACCUGCCCUUGACUCUGGGAUAACUUCAGGAAACUGGGGCUAAUACCGGAUAGGAGCUCCUGCUGCAUGGUGGGGGUUGGAAAGUUUCGGCGGUUGGGGAUGGACUCGCGGCUUAUCAGCUUGUUGGUGGGGUAGUGGCUUACCAAGGCUUUGACGGGUAGCCGGCCUGAGAGGGUGACCGGCCACAUUGGGACUGAGACACGGCCCAGACUCCUACGGGAGGCAGCAGUGGGGAAUAUUGCACAAUGGGCGGAAGCCUGAUGCAGCAACGCCGCGUGCGGGAUGACGGCCUUCGGGUUGUAAACCGCUUUCGCCUGUGACGAAGCGUGAGUGACGGUAAUGGGUAAAGAAGCACCGGCUAACUACGUG
rnacentral:rRNA from 1 species